rnacentral:lncRNA from 1 species
ACACAUGGUGUGUGGGGGGAGAAAGGAGAAAGUGUAUUUCUUUUGAAGGGGAUGAAGUGGCGAGUAGUAGCGAACAAGUUUGUUGGGCAGACCUUUGACCCCCCAUCAUUCAAUUUCAUCUCAUCUACCACCCAUCAACCCUAAUUCAAUUCCCAUUUCACAUUAAUUGUAUCGACAUCUUCACGCUUUCAUCAAUCUUUCAUAUUUUAAACCCACUAUGUUCACCUCUCGUGAUCUACUGUCAUCCAUACAUAAUUCAUAUACAUACACAUACAUGUAUCUGUAUCUGUGUAAGUAUAGGCUCGAAUUUCUAAACCCCACCUCAGAUCUUCCUAUUUCUUUGACCUCAGCAAUAACAAAUUCGUCUCAUCUCUUUUCUAAUUUCAGGAAAUUGACGUACGCAGACUCUCUCUCUCUCUCUCUCUCUCUCUCUCUCUCUCUCUCUCUCUCUCUCUCUCUCUCUCUCUCUCUCUCUCUCGCAU